GAUGAACGCUGGCGGCGUGCCUAAUACAUGCAAGUCGAGCGAAUGGAUUAAGAGCUUGCUCUUAUGAAGUUGGCGGCGGACGGGUGAGUAACACGUGGGUAACCUGCCCAUAAGACUGGGAUAACUCCGGGAAACCGGGGCUAAUACCGGAUAACAUUUUGAACCGCAUGGUUCGAAAUUGAAAGGCGGCUUCGGCUGUCACUUAUGGAUGGACCCGCGUCGCAUUAGCUAGUUGGUGAGGUAACGGCUCACCAAGGCAACGAUGCGUAGCCGACCGGAGAGGGGGAUCGGCCACACUGGGACUGAGACACGGCCCAGAAUCCGACGGGAGGCAGCAGUAGGGAAUCUUCCGCAAUGGACGAAAGUCUGACGGAGCAACGCCGCGUGAGUGAUGAAGGCUUUCGGGUCGUAAAACUCUGUUGUUAGGGAAGUACAAGUGCUAGUUGAAUAAGCUGGCACCUUGACGGUACCUAACCAGAAAGCCACGGCUAACUACGUGCCAGCCGCCGCGGUAA
rnacentral:rRNA from 1 species